AAAAAACGCGACACCGAAGCAGCGGGAUGCGUAAGCAUCGGUAGAGGAGCAUUGUGUGAGGGUUGAAGCCAGAGCGAGAGCACUGGUGGACUUCACAGAAGAGAGAAUGCCGGUAUGAGUAGCGAGACCCAUGCGAGAAACAUGGGCGUCGAAGGCCCAAGGUUUCCUGGGGAAGGUUCAUCCACCCAGGGUAAGUCGGGACCUAAGCCGAGGACUGAGGUCGUAGGCGAUGGACAGCAGGUAGAGAUUCCUGCACCACUACCACUUGUUUGACGAAGCAGUGACACAGAAGGAUAGGACGAGCGCGGUGAUGGUCAACCGCGUAGGCGGCACGAGGCCGGGAAGCAGUGAAGUACACUUCCCGCAAAGGCUGAGUGUUGACAGGACCGAAAAGAAGUAGGGAAGCGUCCGAGUUCACGCUGGCGAGAAAAGCUGCUAAGGAGAGUGUGAGUGCCCGUACCGGAAACCGACGCAGGUGGGCGAGGAGAGAAUCCUGAGACGGACGGGAGAACUCUUGUUAAGGAACUCGGCAAAAUGACCCCGUAACUUCGGGAGAAGGGGUGCCUCGAAAGAGGCCGCAGAGAAUAGUCACAAGCGACUGUUUUAGCAAAAACACAGGUAUCUGCGAAAGCGAGAGCUGACGUAUAGGUGCUGACGCCUGCCCGGUGCUGGAAGGUUAAGGGGAAGUGUUAGGGGAAACCCGAAGCAGAGAACCGAAGCCCCAGUAAACGGCGGCCGUAACGAUAACGGUCCUAAGGUAGCGAAAUUCCUUGUCGGGUAAGUUCCGACCCGCACGAAUGGCGUAACGACUUGUGAGCUGUCUCAACAGGAGGCCCGGUGAAAUUGAAGUAUGUGUGAAGAUGCACAUUACCCGCGACUGGACGGAAAGACCCCGUAGAGCUUUACUGUAACCUGACAUUGGAUCUUGAUAACGGAUGCACAGGAUAGGUGGGACGCUGGGAGACGAGGACUUUGGUUUUCGUGGAGCGGCCGUUGGGAUACCACUCUUCUGUUAUUGAGAUUCUAACCUCAAGCCGUGAGCCGGAUGAGAGACAGUGUCAGGCGGACAGUUUGACUGGGGCGGUCGCCUCCGAAAGAGUAACGGAGGCGCCCAAAGGUACCCUCAGAAUGGAUGGAAACCAUUCGAAGAGAGCAAAGUCAGAAGGGUGCUUGACUGCGAGACCAACAAGUCGAGCAGGUACGAAAGUAGGGCUUAGUGAUCCGGCGGUAAGAGAGUGGAAUUGCCGUCACUCAACGGAUAAAAGCUACCUCGGGGAUAACAGGCUGAUCUCCCCCAAGAGUUCACAUCGACGGGGAGGUUUGGCACCUCGAUGUCGGCUCGUCGCAUCCUGGGGCUGAAGCAGGUCCCAAGGGUUUGGCUGUUCGCCAAUUAAAGCGGCACGCGAGCUGGGUUCAGAACGUCGUGAGACAGUUCGGUCCCUAUCCAUCGUGGGCGAAGGACACAUGAGAGGAGCUGCUCCUAGUACGAGAGGACCGGAGUGGACGCAUCACUGGUGCAACUGUUGUCGUGCCAACGGCACAGCAGGGAAGCGAAAUGCGGACGGGAUAAACGCUGAAGGCAUCUAAGCGUGAAGCCCACCUCAAGAAUAAGUGUCCCAUUCGAAAGAAGUAAGACCCCUGGAAGACUACCAGGUGAUAGGUUAUCGGUGAAAAAGUGGUAACAUUUGGAGCUUGAUGAUACUAAUCGGUCGAAGACUUGAUCG
rnacentral:rRNA from 1 species